CUGGAGUUAAAUUUUUAGAAAGUCCGCCAUUACACAACUCUGCCGAGCAGUACAUGAGAACUGGAGUUAUGUUGUUCGUUGUGAGAAGUGGUAGGCCUACUUGAUCAGAUGGAGAAACCUGCUGUUCACAUUUCAAAUAGGCUAACUUACACAAAGAGGCCAAGAUGCUGAUAAAAGUGCAAUUUGGAGGCAAGAAAAAAUAUAUUAAACUGGAAGAAGAUUGUUUCUUGGAUUUUUUCAGUGCGGUCCAGCACAAGUUUGUGAUACCAGAGGAGACAGCAUCAAAAGUCACAGAUGACAAUGGGGAUGUAUUUCAAGAACUUGCAACAACCAAAGAAACAUGUCAUCCACACUAAUGAUGAUUUGACUGUCCUGCAGCAAGGGGCUGUUAAAGUGCCCUCCUCCCCAAGUCUGACAGAUUCAUUGUCUGUGUCAAGCAGUUUGAGCAGCAGUGAAUCUGGAUCUCAAAUUAUUCAACCUUUAAUGGGCAGUGUCCAAAAAAAUAAAAUCGAGCAAAUUCUAACUUCAAAGCCAGCAGAGUUGACUGUGAUUAAGGAGUAUGACAAGAUAUUUUUUUGCUGCUUUUGAUUCCUGUGAAGUUAAUUUUAUAUAAUGUAAUGUGUUGAUUGUCUCAUGCAAUUUUACUAAGCCAUUGGUUUUAGUUGGCACUAGCUGCUAACAUAUAUUAAUUGUAAAUGUUUUGCUGUUAGAUUUAAUGCUGUGAUGACAAUUAAUUUCAAAGUGUGUACAUCGAUGGAAAUUCUAAAUCUAAUGUGUGGAUUUGCAUGAAUAAAAGCAGUAAGUAAA
rnacentral:lncRNA from 1 species